rnacentral:tRNA from 1 species
GCGACCCACAGGUCGCGGAGGCCGCGCCUGCCGUCGGCGGAACGGCUGCGCUCGUUCGCGGUGUUCGGCGCACCGGGGCUGCU